UGGGAUACAGCUCAGUGGUAGAGUGCCUGCCUGGCAUGCACAAGGCCCUGGGUUUGAUUUCCAGUAACACAC
rnacentral:tRNA from 1 species